CCCGCGGUAGCCUAGCCUGGGAGCGGCGGCGGACUGUAGAUCCGCAGGUCCCCGGUUCAAAUCCGGGCCGCGGGACCA
rnacentral:tRNA from 32 species